rnacentral:rRNA from 1 species
AACUGCAAAGAAAAUAAAUAUAUUUUUUGUUAUAUACCUUUUGCAUAAUGGUUUAAUAAUUAUAUAUUAAAUUAUAUUUCCCGAAGUUAGAAGAUCUAAUUUUAUUAUAUUUUUAGAUUAUACAUUUAAUGUUUCAAAAUUACAGUAAUAAAUAUAAUUAGGGGUGAAAGGCUUUUCAAUUCUAAAGAUAUCUGGAAUAAUUUUAAAUGUAUUUAGUACAAAAUAAGUUUUGAAUAAAAAAAUGUUAAGGUUUUCUUAUUAUAGUAUGUUAAAUAAUUCUUAUUUAUGGGUUAACCUUCCAAUAAUCUUUAAUAUUAAUUAUUUUUUAUCUAAACAUCUAAUUAAUAAAAUUAUAUAUUUCCAACUUAUUAAAAAAUAAAAUAUGUUAAAAUUAGUAUAAUAUUGUUAUUUUAUUAAGGAACUCGGCUAAUUAUUAUUCAACUGUUUAUCAAAAACAUAGUCUUAUGAUAUAAUAUAAGGUGAUACCUGCCCAUUGAUAUUUUUAACGGCCGCAGUACCUUGACUGUGCUAAGGUAGCAUAAUAAAUUGACUUUUAAUUGGGGCCUUGAAUGAAAGGAUAAAUGAAUAAUUUCUGUCUUAUAUAUAAUUUACUAUAAAUUACUUAAAAGGUGCAAAUUCCUUUAUUUAUUAAAUAGACGAGAAGACCCUACGAGUUUAAAAUUUUGUUGGGGCGAC